rnacentral:misc_RNA from 1 species
ACAGCCAGCCUCUCUCAUAUUUUAUUUCCCCAAUCACCUCUAUAAUAUAUUCAUGACUCAUACAGCCAAGCUGAAAGGAAAAUGAAAGUUCACGUUAAGCUUUCCUUUGAUUCUCUACUCUCUACCUGCUUGUGUGUGAGAUGGGUUUUCAUUUCUCUUAAAGUCUCCAUGGAAUCUUGAAGAUUUGUGAUUUUGCACCAAACCCAAUCUUUAUACGGUGAUGGUGUAAUAUGAUUAUAAUGAGUCAACAACAACCAAUCAUCGGCAACCACCUCUCAUCAAAG